GGCAGUAUCAAUGUAAUUUUAUUCAACACAAAAUAAAGUUGUAUUAUUUCAGAGGGAAAGACAACAAAAGGAGAUAUCAGUGUCAUAGGAGGAGAUUUACAAUACAUCCAAAAGCCUAAUUAUGCUGUGGGAAAUAUUUUAUUCACAUUUAAAGGUAUUUAUAUUUCAUUUUGCUGAAAAUCACUGAUCACGACAUCCCAGCGGGACUAGGAGAUGCAGAUUAGUUUAUGAACUGCAGGUUGUUCUUGAACAGGGAGAGACGCUAGGAGCAUCAUCAGCGACAGAUCAUGAAAACGACUGCAACUAGACUGAGGACCACAGAGAUGACCGGAAGGCUGGUUCUACCACUGUUACACAGGUUAUUAGAGCAGCAAGUGGAAUUGAAGUUGGUCAGCUUAAAAUAUUCAG